rnacentral:tRNA from 1 species
GGCAUUGUGGCUCAGUGGUAGAGUACUCGCCUUACAUGUGCGGGACUCUGGGUUCAAUCCUCAGCACCA